rnacentral:rRNA from 1 species
GAUGAACGCUGGCUACAGGCUUAACACAUGCAAGUCGAGGGGAAACGACGGGGAAGCUUGCUUCCCCGGGCGUCGACCGGCGCACGGGUGAGUAACGCGUAUCCAACCUGCCUCUGACUGAGGGAUAACCCGUCGAAAGUCGGCCUAAUACCUCAUGGUAUCGUCUGCGGGCAUCCAACGACGAUUAAAGAUUUCAUCGGUCAGGGAUGGGGAUGCGUCUGAUUAGCUUGUUGGCGGGGUAACGGCCCACCAAGGCUACGAUCAGUAGGGGUUCUGAGAGGAAGGUCCCCCACAUUGGAACUGAGACACGGUCCAAACUCCUACGGGAGGCAGCAGUGAGGAAUAUUGGUCAAUGGGCGAGAGCCUGAACCAGCCAAGUAGCGUGCAGGAUGACGGCCCUAUGGGUUGUAAACUGCUUUUAUGUGGGGAUAAAGUGAGCUACGUGUAGUUUAUUGCAGGUACCACAUGAAUAAGGACCGGCUAAUUCCGUGCCAGCAGCCGCGGUAAUACGGAAGGUCCAGGCGUUAUCCGGAUUUAUUGGGUUUAAAGGGAGCGUAGGCCGUGGAUUAAGCGUGUUGUGAAAUGUAGACGCUCAACGUCUGAAUUGCAGCGCGAACUGGUUCACUUGAGUAUGCACAACGUAGGCGGAAUUCGUCGUGUAGCGGUGAAAUGCUUAGAUAUGACGAAGAACUCCGAUUGCGAAGGCAGCUUACGGGAGCACAACUGACGCUGAAGCUCGAAGGUGCGGGUAUCAAACAGG